rnacentral:tRNA from 1 species
GUUUUAAUAGUUUAAAAAAAAACAUUGGUCUUGUAAACCAAAAAUAAGAAAAACACUUUUAAAACU